rnacentral:rRNA from 1 species
GUGAGGAAUAUUGGUCAAUGGACGAGAGUCUGAACCAGCCAAGUCGCGUGAAGGAAGACGGUUCUAUGAAUUGUAAACUUCUUUUGUGCAGGAAUAAAGUGGGUUACGUGUAACCUUUUGUAUGUACUGUACGAAUAAGGAUCGGCUAACUCCGUGCCAGCAGCCGCGGUAAUACGGAGGAUCCGAGCGUUAUCCGGAUUUAUUGGGGUUAAAGGGUGCGUAGGUGGAUUGAUAAGUCAGCGGUGAAAGUUUGCAGCUUAACUGUAAAAUUGCCGUUGAAACUGUCGGUCUUGAGUGCAAAUGAGGUAGGCGGAAUGUGUUGUGUAGCGGUGAAAUGCUUAGAUAUAACACAGAACUCCGAUUGCGAAGGCAGCUUACUGGGAUGCAACUGACACUGAUGCACGAAAGCGUGGGUAUCAAACAGGAUUAGAAACCCCUGUAGUCC